AGUCACAGCAGGUCAUCAGAACCCAACCACUUCCUUGUGGAUGUCCUCUCCUACUACCUUCGCUGUGGCCUACAGCCUGUCCACUUCACACUCUACUCUGUCAAGAUCUCUGUCUCUGGCCAGACUGGCAGCCCUGUGGACGAGGUGUUUGUGUCCCACCUGGAUGCUGAGUUCCCGGAGUUUAAAACACUCAGAGAAAAUCUAAGACAAGAGAGAUCUAGUAGGCGACGAACAAGGAAGACACAUGGAACCUGUGGAGCG